rnacentral:rRNA from 1 species
CCGUAUGUGACGCGGAGGGACAUUAC